GAGGGUAUAGAUCAAUGGUAGAGCACAUGCUUAGCAUGCACAUGGUCCUGGGUUCAAUCCCCAGUAGCUCCU
rnacentral:tRNA from 1 species